UACAGAGGGGGCAAGCGUUAUUCGGAAUUAUUGGGCGUAAAGGGCGCGUAGGCGGCGAUUCAAGUGACGGGUGAAAUCCCUCGGCUUAACCGAGGAACUGCCUGUCAGACUGGGUUGCUUGAGACCGGGAGAGGCGAGUGGAAUUCCCAGUGUAGCGGUGAAAUGCGUAGAUAUUGGGAGGAACACCAGUGGCGAAGGCGGCUCGCUGGACCGGAACUGACGCUGAGGCGCGAAAGCGUGGGGAGCGAUCCGG
rnacentral:rRNA from 1 species